UUACAGCCAUACUGAGUUGAAGCACCAGUUCUUAUCCAAUCACUAAAGUUAAGCAAUAUUGAGCCUGGUCAGUACCUAGAUGGGUAACUUCUUGGGAAGACCAGGUGCUGAAA